AUUGAACGCUGGCGGAAUGCUUUACACAUGCAAGUCGAACGGCAGCACGGGUGCUUGCACCUGGUGGCGAGUGGCGAACGGGUGAGUAAUGCGUCGGAACGUGCCGAGUAAUGGGGGAUAACGCAGCGAAAGUUGUGCUAAUACCGCAUACGCCCUGAGGGGGAAAGUGGGGGAUCGCAAGACCUCACGUUAUUCGAGCGGCCGACGUCUGAUUAGCUAGUUGGUGGGGUAAAGGCCUACCAAGGCGACGAUCAGUAGCGGGUCUGAGAGGAUGAUCCGCCACACUGGGACUGAGACACGGCCCAGACUCCUACGGGAGGCAGCAAUGGGGAAUAUUGCGCAAUGGGCGAAAGCCUGACGCAGCCAUGCCGCGUGUGUGAAGAAGGCCCUUGGGUUGUAAAGCACUUUCAAUUGGGAAGAAAGGUUGCGUGUUAAUAGCACGUGGCUGUGACGUUACCUUUAGAAGAAGCACCGGCUAACUCCGUGCCAGCAGCCG
rnacentral:rRNA from 1 species